UAGGGAAUCUUCGGCAAUGGGGGCAACCCUGACCGAGCAACGCCGCGUGAGUGAAGAAGGUUUUCGGAUCGUAAAGCUCUGUUGUAAGAGAAGAACGAGUGUGAGAGUGGAAAGUUCACGCUGUGACGGUAUCUUACCAGAAAGGGACGGCUAACUACGUGCCAGCAGCCGCGGUAAUACGUAGGUCCCGAGCGUUAUCCGGAUUUAUUGGGCGUAAAGCGAGCGCAGGCGGUUAGAUAAGUCUGAAGUUAAAGGCUGUGGCUUAACCAUAGUACGCUUUGGAAACUGUUUAACUUGAGUGCAGAAGGGGAGAGUGGAAUUCCAUGUGUAGCGGUGAAAUGCGUAGAUAUAUGGAGGAACACCGGUGGCGAAAGCGGCUCUCUGGUCUGUAACUGACGCUGAGGCUCGAAAGCGUGGGGAGCAAACAGGAUUAGAUACCCUGGUAGUCCACGCCGUGAACGAUGAGUGCUAGGUGUUGGGUCCUUUCCGGGACUCAGUGCCGCAGCUAACGCAUUAAGCACUCCGCCUGGGGAGUACGACCGCAAGGUUG
rnacentral:rRNA from 1 species